AUUCUGUGAACAGUCGGGCCAGAAGGGAGAACUGCGUCGCUAGGAUGAAGCUCGUGAGAUUUUUGAUGAAAUUGAGUCAUGAAACUGUAACCAUUGAAUUGAAGAAUGGGACACAAGUCCAUGGAACAAUCACAGAGGCCAGAAGAGAGAUUUGGAUCCCCUGGAACAUGGAGAUUUGGAUCCCCUGGAACAUGGAGAUUUGGACCCCCUGGAACAUGGAGAUUUGGACCCCCUGGAACAUGGAGAUUUGGACCCCCUGGAACAUGGAGAUUUGGAUCCCCUGGAACAUGGAGAUUUGGACCCCCUGGAACUGCAGACGGAUGAGCUGCUGUGUGUGCUGAGACGAGAACCCAGGUCCUCUGCGAGAGCAACACGUGCUCUUAACACUGAGCCCUCUCUCCAGCUAAUUUUUACUAAAUUUUUGCACUGUUCAGGACAUGUGUUAAUUGCUUGAGAUGUAGAAACUAGGACAAAAUAGUUGUCAUAUUUGUUACUUUUGCUUCACACUAAUGGAAUCCUAGAUACAUGAAUCAACUUGUUUUUAUUAAAUAGCACGUCAGAAAUAUCUUUGGAAAGUAUGGGGCUGUAUAAUGUGAAUGUAUCAAAAUUUACUCACUGUCAUACUAAUAGGGUGUAAUACUGUAUCCCAAAGAUACACACU
rnacentral:lncRNA from 1 species